GCAACAAGAGAUGAUGAGUAGAACAAAAAAUAAAUACUCCGUCAGUUUCAUUUUAUAUGGCAGUCUUUCUUAUUUACCCUAUUUCGAAAAAAACACCUUUCUAUAUUUUCCAAAAUUUUGACGCGUUUAACUUAAAAUUUCACCCUUAAUGACAUGCUCUUACAGUCAUAGAAAUGUCAUGUCUUAUUUAAGACUACAAGCUUUACAGAUAUUUUUGGAAUAUCUCAAAAGUCUUGCUUAAACUCGUGUUGAGUCAAACACCAGUCACAAAAUGAACGUAGAGAGUAACAAUUUUCAAUUAGAGACGAAAUUAGAAUGGAUGAUGACUACAAUUUCAGUUAUCCACAUACAAUUCCAACAAAUUUUUUUGGGAAAAGUAAAAAUAUAUACCUAUGACCAUAAUGUUUGAUUUGUUUAAUACCAUCCUUUGAUGAGCAUCAGGGCCGACACUGUUACCAUUUGUCUCAAAUAUACCUCUUCCACUAACAGGUUUCAAUCAUAUUGUAAAUUGGUCACCAUGUACAGGUAUAUUCCGACAUUUAUUAUUGCUCAAGGGUAUAUAUUGAACCUUUUUAAUUGUUCAGGGGCAUACUUCAAUAUAUUGCCGAUGACAUACUUAAACCAAUUUAAUAGUUCUUUGGUAAAUUUGGAUCUUUUGUUUGUUUAGGUGGCUCCGCUGCGCCAAAUGUCAAAGCCAAGCUGGACAGCUGUUAGAGGUAGGGAAAAUACGGGACGAAAUAAAUAAGGCAAGACUUUCAUGGACCAAAAAGUAAACAGAAGGAAAAAAAAAUAUGACGAGUCAGGAGAGGUAUGAUUAGAAAUGAAGAUAUUCCGGACAAGGUGGGAGCGUCCUUGGUGGAGGACAAGAUGCGGAAAGCGAGACUGAGAUGGUUUGGACAUGUGAAGAGGAGAUUCACAAAUGUGCCAAUGCGGAGGUGUGAGAAGUUGCUUAUGGAUGGUUUCAGAAAAGGUAGAGGCAGGCUGAAGAAAUAUUGAAAGAGGAUUAGACAAACAUGGCGCAACUCCAACUUACCAAAGAAAUGACCUUCGAUUGGAGGCUAUAGAGGACACGGAUAAAUUUUACAGGCUAAUAGGUACUUGAGAGUUGUCUCACCUAUUCUUUCAUACUAUCAGUGGUAGUAUUAUUCUUGUAGUUGCUUGUUCUAUCAUUACUGUUACUAUAUGUUGAGUUUUUUCUUGUAUA